ACUAAUCCUAUGGCUAAAGGAAUGAGCACCACAAAAAGCUUUAUUGAUGUGUUGGAACUUCCAGUUGCAACAAACUUCCCGUCAGGACUAAACCCUGCACAUCUGGCAAUAUUAUAGAAAGUUUAUCCCAUCAGAACAAGUAAGACGCCCAGUGGAAAGUGAUUUUAUCAUGCUAACUUAGUGAAUCAAUGAAAAUAAGCACACAUGUUAUGCAAUUAAUUUUUUCCCUUGUUAUGUAUACCUUGCGCUCUGAAAGAUGGCGUGUCUCAUGCUUUGGAAAACUCUUUGGUGAGCCUUUUGUUUCCUGCACAGCACUGUUUGCACGAAGAUAUGCAAGAUCAGAUUAAUAGGGUUAGUUAUACAAAAUUUUGUAAAUAUUAUUCCUAGGAGUUUUUCAUGGUCAGUUUCCUUUUUCCCUGAGCAACUAAACGAUAAGUACCAGAGCCGAAAGUUUGGAAGUUUGUUUGUAAUCCAUUGCAAAUCAAGAAGGCAUCAAGCAGUAAUCAAAUGACACGGAAACCUAUUCCGAAAAACAUAAUUACCCAAAAUCAACAGCAGCAGUGCGAGUAGCUGGGAUGCCACCAUAUCUAGAAGCUACUGAUGUACCCAAAUCAUAUGCAGAUAAAGAAACCCCUCUCAACAUCUCAUCUUUCUCCACUGCAAGGCCCUGUA
rnacentral:lncRNA from 1 species